CCGAGUUUACAACUCCCAAACCCCUGUGAACAUACCUAUCGUUGCUUCGGCGGGAUCGCCCCGGCGCCCUCGGGCCCGGACCCAGGCGCCCGCCGGAGGACCUAAACUCUUGUCUUUUUUAGUAUUCUUCUGAGUAAACAAGCAAAUAAAUCA
rnacentral:misc_RNA from 1 species